CAUAUGAAAGUCAAGCAUCUGAUUGACUCACUCAUUGAUUUUCUGAACUUCCCCAGAUUCCAGUUUCCGGGGAAACCUGGGAUAUACACUAGGGAGGAACUUUGCACUAUGUUCAUAAGGGAGGUAGGGACGGUACUGUCCCAGGUAUAUUCGAAAGUCCAUAAUGGUUCAGAAAUACUGUUUUCCUAUUUCCAAGACCUAGUGAUUACACUUCCUUUCGAGUUAAGGAAACAUAAACUAAUAGAUGUAAUCUCGAUGUAUAGGGAACUGUUGAAAGAUUUAUCAAAAGAAGCCCAAGAGGUAUUUAAAGCCAUUCAGUCUCUCAAGACCACAGAGGUGCUACGUAAUCUUCAGGACCUUUUACAAUUCAUUUUCCAACUAAUAGAAGAUAACAUUAAACAGCUGAAAGAGAUGAAAUUUACUUAUCUUAUUAAUUAUAUCCAAGAUGAGAUCAA
rnacentral:lncRNA from 1 species